rnacentral:rRNA from 1 species
AGCGUAGACGGACUGGCAAGUCUGAUGUGAAAGGCGGGGGCUCAACCCCUGGACUGCAUUGGAAACUGUUAGUCUUGAGUGCCGGAGAGGUAAGCGGAAUUCCUAGUGUAGCGGUGAAAUGCGUAGAUAUUAGGAGGAACACCAGUAGCGAAGGCGGCUUACUGGACGGUAACUGACGUUGAGGCUCGAAAGCGUGGGGAGCAAACA